AUAUGCUUGUAAUAAUUCUUGAAACUAAAAUUUAAAAAGGAAUUUGUAAUUCACUUGUUCAACGCUUUUCACCUAACGUAGGGUACCUAUGUUUCACUUAAACACUUUUUGCACAGACGGAGUGCCGCGUAAAUUUCGCUGAUGCUAGGCGCUUAAACAUAAAAUUUUUGUCUGAUGUGGAGUUCCCAACGGUAAUGUUACUCAACAUCAUUUAUUUAUAUUGAUGUUAUUCCAAUUAUACCCUAAUUUAAACCCCUAUAUCUCUCUUCUUUUUCAAUUUCUUCUUUCUUUUUCAAUUUCUCUCUUCUUCCGUCUUUCAUGUCAAGCUUCUGCAAUUCUUUCAUGGCAUAUGUGGAUGAAGGUCUAUAUUGUAGGUGUGAUAAUGAUGCAUUAUUAAAAAAUUCAUGGAUCCAAUUAAAUCCAAGGCGAAGGUUUUUGACUUGUAGAAUUUCAAAGAAAAUGGGUGGUUGUGACUAUUUUCUUUGAUAUGAAGAUCGACACCCUCCACAAGCAAAUAAAGUAAUGUGGGGAUUGUUGAAGAAAGUCAAUGCUUCUGAUGAAAAGUUAAAGCGAGCAAAAAAUAUAUUUAUUGUUGGUGUCGUUACUACUGGGUUGCUUAUGUUUGGAAUAUGAAAAUUGAAGCCUAAUUGUUAGUGCACUUCAGGCGUUCGAUCUAGUACUAUUUUGAUGAGCCAAACAGUGUUCGAUGUAGUAGUAUUUUAGAUGUUGUUGUUGCAGUAAAUUUUUUAUGUAAUUGUCUUUUUGAAUCCAAUGAAAUUCUAAGUUCUAUUAGUA